rnacentral:rRNA from 1 species
UACGUAGGGGGCUAGCGUUGUCCGGAAUCAUUGGGCGUAAAGAGCGUGUAGGCGGUCCGGUAAGUCCGCUGUGAAAGUCGGGGGCUCAACCCUCGAAUGCCGGUGGAUACUGUCGGGCUAGAGUACGGAAGAGGCGAGUGGAAUUCCUGGUGUAGCGGUGAAAUGCGCAGAUAUCAGGAAGAACACCCGUGGCGAAGGCGGUUCUCUGGGACGGUACUGACGCUGAGGAGCGAAAGCGUGGGUAGCAAACAGG